GUGGGGAAUCUUCCGCAAUGGACGAAAGUCUGACGGAGCAACGCCGCGUGAGUGAAGAAGGUUUUCGGAUCGUAAAGCUCUUUCGUUAGGGACGAACGUGCUCUUUGUGAAUAAUGAGGAGUAAUGACGGUACCUAAAUAAGAAGCCACGGCUAACUACGUGCCAGCAGCCGCGGUAAUACGUAGGUGGCAAGCGUUGUCCGGAAUUAUUGGGCGUAAAGCGCGCGCAGGCGGGAUAUCAAGUCUGUCUUAAAAGUGCGAGGCUCAACCUCGUGAGGGGACAGAAACUGUGAUUCUUGAGUGUCGGAGAGGAAAGUGGAAUUCCAAGUGUAGCGGUGAAAUGCGUAGAGAUUUGGAAGAACACCAGUGGCGAAGGCGACUUUCUGGACGAUGUCUGACGCUGAGGCGCGAAAGCUAGGGGAGCGAACGGGAUUAGAUACCCGGGUAGUCC
rnacentral:rRNA from 1 species